GUGAGGAAUUUUCCGCAAUGGGCGAAAGCCUGACGGAGCAAUGCCGCGUGAAGGAUGAAGGCCUAUGGGUUGUAAACUUCUUUUCUCAGAAAAGAAUUAUGACGGUAUCUGAGGAAUAAGCAUCGGCUAACUCUGUGCCAGCAGCCGCGGUAAGACAGAGGAUGCAAGCGUUAUCCGGAAUGAUUGGGCGUAAAGCGUCUGUAGGUUGUUUAAAAAGUAUUCUGUCAAAGAUUAGGGCUUAACCCUAGAUAGGCAGAAUAAACUUUUAAGCUAGAGUUUGGUAGAGGCAGGGGGAAUUCCCGGUGGAGCGGUGAAAUGCGUAGAUAUCGGGAGGAACACCAAAGGCGAAGGCACUCUGCUGGGCCAAUACUAACACUGAGAGACGAAAGCGAGGGGAGCAAAUGGGAUUAGAUACCCGGGUAGUCC
rnacentral:rRNA from 1 species